GAGGGACACGGUUUAGCGAGAACCAUUGGUGAAGGGCGAAUGGUUGGACUGGGUGAUCCCGUGGGUCUUUUCCAACCUUAGCCAUUCUAUGAUUCUAUGAUCGCCUCCUGAUGCUCUGCACACCAGCCGAGGAGCGGCGCUUCCCCGUGGGCGGAGGGGCACGCGUCACAGCCAGAGCAUUGUGACGCAAUCACCCUGCAGAGUAGCAGAAGCACCGCUCCCUGGGCACAGAGAGCACUUGGUGCUGAGCACUGGCACUGCGAGGAGGUGGGAGAGAUUGGGAGAGGAGACUGAAGGCAGAGAGUGCCCCCGGUGCCCUCCCAGCCCACAGCGUGGUCGAGGACUGUCGCGAACCCAUCCGCAGCUGUGCGCACUGAGCGCUGAAGCCAUGGCAGAGAAGUACUCCAGUGAAAUGCUGGCGGUAGACAACGCUGAGUCAGGCGCACUGCUGGAGGAGCUCAUGGAGUGUAAGAAGAGGUCUGCGGAGCUGGCAGCUGUUCUCCGAGAGCAGACCAAAAUCCGUCAGGCACUGAAGGAGGAGGUGGAAAUGGAGAUGAAAAGCCUCCAGAAGGCACAACGGAGGGC